rnacentral:rRNA from 1 species
GUCUUGUUGAAUAUAAUUUCAAGUCUGACCUGCCCAGUGAUGGUUUAAACGGCCGCGGUAUUUUGACCGUGCAAAGGUAGCAUAGUAAUUAGUUUUUUAAUUGAAAGCUUGAAUGAAAGGUUUGAUGAAAAAAAGACUGUCUCUAGAAAAUUUUUAUAGAAUUUUAUUUUUAAGUAAAAAAGCUUAAAUAUGGAUAGAAGACGAGAAGACCCUAUAGAGUUUAAUAUUUUGUGAACAAUAAAGUUUUUGGGUUAUUAAAAUUUUAUUAUUUAUGUAGGUAUUUUAUUGGGGUGAUGGAAAAAUUUAAUGAACUUUUUUUUAUUAUAAUACAUUUAUUUGUGGGUAGAUGAUCCUAUUGUUUAGAUUAUAAGAUUAAAUUACCUUAGGGAUAACAGCGUAAUUUCUUUUAGAGUUCUUAUCGAAAAAAAAGAUUGCGACCUCGAUGUUGGAUUAAAAUUAAUUGUUGGUGUAGAAGCUAAUAAAUUAGGUCUGUUCGACCUUUAAAAUUUUACAUGAUCUGAGUUUAAACCGGUGUGAG